rfam:Klebsormidium nitens DNA, contig: KFL_1144.
GUAAUCGUGCCCGAGCGGUUAAGGGGCUAGACUAGAAAUCUAGUAGGCUCUGCCUGCGCAGGUUCGAAUCCUGCCGAUUACG